CACCCCCUCCAACCCCCUCUUAGUCAAUCCUACAGAUGAAGAAACCAGAUUUGGGGCUCCCGAGUGGCGCAGCGGUCUAAGGCACUGCAUCUCAGUGCUAGAGGCAUCACCUCAAACCCUGAUUCGAUUCCAGGCUGUAGUUCAACCGGAUGUGAUUGGACUUUGACUCAGAGGAGAGGAAAGUGAUCUGCAACACCCUUCGGUUUAUUGCCCAUUACUACGCAGCUUCUUUGAUGUAGCGAGUCUGAGAGCUUCAUGUCCAAAACUAAGAGCUUAUUCACACAACUAGCAUUUGGGACAGAAAAUGGGUUCUCCCCCAAUUACUGAUGUUGACAUUGGGACUCUGCAUGCUAAAAACCCUCUAGAUCUGUGGAAGAAAGUGUUCACGGUCGUUUUUCCUCCUGAGGGAGCACCACAGAGAGCUGAAGAACCCAGCCAAGGACCUACAGUACAGUGAACUACAGAUUGUCUCCAUGAGGGCCCAGAAAGACACGAAACAUGGAACAGAAUAUGAAGCUUCUACUCUCAGUAACUUUCCAUAUUCUUAGUCCAAUCUAUCUUUCAUUGAUUCCAACAUAUAUACUUUCUUUAUACAGUCAUGAAUGUGUUCUAGUAUGGUAACAUGAUUACAGCUCAGCAUUCAACACCAUAGUGCCCACAAAGCUCAUCACUAAGCUAAGGACACUGGGACUAAACACAUCCCUCUGCAACUGGAUCCUGGACUUCCUGUUUGUUUUUACAAUGCUGCUACUCACUGUUUUACAUCUAUGCAUAGUCACUUUAACCAUACCUACAUGUACAAAUUACCUUGAGUAACCUGAACCCCCGCACAUUAACUCGGUACCAGUACCCCCUGUAAAUAGCCUCGUUGUUGUUAUUUUGUGUUACUUUUUAAAAAUUAUAAUUUUUUGUUUAUUUGGUAAAUAU